CCAGGCCAUGAGCAGCCAGCGUCUCCAGGAGAACACUGUGGGAGACACUGUCCAAUGCUUUAUUAAACUUCAAAUAGACAAUGUCUACAGCCUCUGCCUCAUCAAUCCAGUGGGUCACCUUGUCAUAGAAGGAGAUCAGGUUGGUCAAGCAGGACCUGCCCUUCAUGAGCCCAUGCUGACUGUGCCUCAUCCCCCCGUUUUCCCACUUGUGCUGUGUGAUGUGUCUUAGGAUCAUCUGCCCCAUGACCUUCCCUGGCACCGAGCUCAGGCUGAGAGGCCUGGAGGUGCCGGUCCUCUGGGACCUGCCCACUGGAGCAGGACUGCUGAUAGAUGAUGGAGAGUGGCUUAGCAAGCUCCUCUGCCAGCUCCUUAAGCCCUCUUGGGUGCAACCCCUCCGGCCCCAUAGACCUGCAUACGUGUAAGUGGAGCAGAAGGUUACUAACCAUUUCUUCUCAAAUUAUGGGGACUUCAGGCAGCUUCCUAUCUGUGCCAUCCAACUCAGGGAACUGAGUACCCUGUUGUGACUAUUAACGGCUGGUGGGACUGUUAAAGACUGAGGCAAAGGCAGCAUGAAGUACCUCAGCCUUUUUCUCAUCCUCAGUCACUAGGUUUCCGCUGGUAUCCAGUAGAGGAUGGAGGUUCUCCUAGGCCCUCCUUUUAGUGCUAGUGUAUUUGUAAAAGUAUUUUUGAUUAUCUUUUAUGGCAGUGGCCAGAUUUAAUUCCAGCUGUGCCUUCGCCUUUCUGACUUUCUCCCUACAUAACAUAACAACAUCCUUGUGCUCCUCAUGGGCGACAGUCCCUUCUUCCACAGGUGAUAGAUUCUCUUCUUUCCUUGAGAGUUCCAGCACUAUCUCCCUGUUCAGCCAGGCUGGUCUCUUCCCUGCCAGGCUGAUUUUUGGCAAAUGGGGAGUGCCUACUCCUGCGCCUUGAGGAGUACAUUCUUGAAGAGUGCCCAGCCUUCCUGGACCCCUUUGUCCUUCAGUAAUGUUUCCCAAGGAAUUCUGCCAACCAGCGUCCUAAACAGGCCAAAGUCAGCCCUUCGGAAGUCUAAGGUGGAGGUUUUGCUGACCUUCUUCCUGACUUCUCCAAGGAUUGAAAAUUCAACCAUUUCUUGAUCGUUUUACCCAAGACAGCCUCCAACCAUCACAUCACCCACGAAUUCUUCUCUGUUGUGAACAGCAAAACCAGCCGGGCAGCUCCCGUAACUGGCUCACUAACCAGCUGGGUUAGGAAGUUAUCUUCCAUACCCUCUAAGAACUGCCUGGAUUGUGUCUUCUCUGCGGUAUUGUACUUCCAGCAGACAUCUGCUAGGUUGAAGUCCCCCCCGAGAACAAGGGCAAGUGAUCGUGAAACUUCUCUCAGUUGUUUGAAGAACAUUUCAUCCGUAGCUUCAUCCUGGCUAGGUGGUCCAGAACAGACUCCUACCGGGAUACCAGCUUGGUUGGCCUUCCCCCUGAUCUUCACCCACAAAUAUUCAGCCUUCUCACUCACAACACUGAGUUCGAGGUGGUCGAUGCACUCCCUGACAUACAACGCAACCCCACCACCCCUUUUUCCUUGCCUAUCCCUUCUGAAGAGCCUGCAGCCAUCCACUGCAGCACCCCAAUCGUGCAAAUCGUCUCACCACAUUCCUGUGAUGGCGACGAUGUCAUGAUUUCCCUGCUGCACAAUGGCUUCCAGCUCCUCCUGCUUGUUGCCCAUGCUGCGGGCAUUGGCACAGAUGCACUGAAGUUGCCUGGUCGAUCUGGACUCCAGCAGCAGCACGCUGCCCCCUGGCUCAUUUCCAGUGGGCCUGGGGUUAUCCCUCCCCUAUCUCCUAGGUGCCAUCCAUCUGCCUAAAUCCUCUAACCCGUAUGAUCCCUUUUUUACUGCAUCACCUUCCUCAGUUUCCUGAUCCCCAGGUCCCAGGGCCUCAAAUCACUCCUCAAGGGGUACUUGGGAAGGUGACCUGAGCUGGGGUAUAAUAUGCCAUGUACUACGAGGAGUAACCUGUUUCCAACCUCCCCUGUCUCCCAGGUCCCCUCCAUCUGCUUGGUGGCAAGAGGUGGGGCCGGGAGGGGGGCAGACAUCAGGGCAGGGGGUGGCACAGGGUUUUUCCCCCAAAGGCCAAUGUCAGCGUCAGGAGGGGCUGUCCCCCCCCCCCGUAACGUGGGGAUCAGCCCAGGUCUCCAGCCCCUGGGUGUGCCUCCUCCUUGCCAGCUCCAAAGAGCUCUUCCAUGUCCCUGCAGCAGAGUGGGACUGCUUCUGCAGGAGAAGAACAGCCUCCUGGAAGCCUGCUUCUGCAGCAUCUUCUCCAUUUGCUUGGUGGCAAGAGGUGUGGGGGAUCCUGAAGUUCUUUUGUUUCAGGAGGCUGGUUUGUUUCUCUCAGGGAUGGUAGAGUGCAGCUCCACCAAUCUCCUCAGAUCCCCUCGUGCUCCUUAGCCAUUCCCCUCUUCCCGUAGCUCUGCCACCAUGCAGAGCAGAUCAUCAUCCCGGUGACAUGACACAGUCCCAUCCACCAUCCCCGGCAGGCUCUGGCCCUUGC
ensembl:lncRNA